UACGUAGGGUGCGAGCGUUGUCCGGAAUUAUUGGGCGUAAAGAGCUCGUAGGCGGUCUGUCGCGUCGGUCGUGAAAACUUGGGGCUUAACCCUGAGCUUGCGGUUGAUACGGGCAUGACUGGAGUUCGGCAGGGGAGACUGGAAUUCCUGGUGUAGCGGUGAAAUGCGCAGAUAUCAGGAGGAACACCGGUGGCGAAGGCGGGUCUCUGGGCCGAUACUGACGCUGAGACGCGAAAGCGUGGGGAGCGAACAGG
rnacentral:rRNA from 1 species